rnacentral:rRNA from 1 species
UACGGGGGGGGUAAGCGUUGUUCGGAAUUACUGGGCGUAAAGGGCUCGUAGGCGGCCAACUAAGUCGGACGUGAAAUCCCUCAGCUUAACUGGGGAACUGCGUCCGAUACUGGAUGGCUUGGAUUUGGGAGAGGGAUGCGGAAUUCCAGGUGUAGCGGUGAAAUGCGUAGAUAUCUGAGGAGAACCGCCGGAGAGGCGGAGCAGUCUG